AGACACAUCUGAUUGGCAGGUACUAUGGCAUGUGCCCAUGUCAUAGCUAAAAGAAAGGCUGAAACAUUUGUAAUUUUUUAUUUAUGUAAUGGGAGAUGGGCUCCAUAUUAUAAGGUAGGGGAUUCUUCAAGAAGUUUCGGUACUGAGAAAUAAAAUUGAAUGACAAACAGGAACCAAAAAAUGCCAUGGUAGAGAUGAAGAGAACCCAAAACCUCUUUUUCUGUCCUUGUUUCCUUUUCUGAAACAAGUGACUAAAUACUCAAAGUCCAUGGGGAAUAUGACAGAUCCAUUCUAAAAACUAACACCUUCAUGUUCAGCCAAGAACCAGCAAGUUCACAUCUUACUUGAAGAAAACAAACCUUUGUAUAAGUUGGAAGCAUAGUAUCACAAAGUGGCAUACAGGGGUAAAUAGAUGCCUGAUUUGCUUCCAGUCAGCCAGGCCCAAUAAUGUCCUUCAAGCCUGCAGAACUAUUGCCUCUGAUGUUCCUCCACCACCCUGAAACAGAACCAAUAGCGGCUGAUCUUGUGUCUACCCGCAACCUUCUCUUUCGUGACAAAGCAACAUGCAAGUGGAAUCCCAAGCAAACCAGAGGGGACGGGAGACUGGUCAAGUCUCUGAGUCGUCCACUCCAAGAUGCGGACAAUGAGUGUAUGAAGACAGACUGAGAAUGCGCUGCAAAGAAGCUUGGAAGAAAAUGAAGGCAGAGAGGACAGACCUGAAAGGCUAAGAGGGACAGAUCAGCGUCCAUGGAAAGCAGGAGCAGAAGCCAGUCUUCUUCCAAACACUGGCACAAACCACUGCCUACUGGAUACAUUUCACCAGACAAUUCACCCCAGUGUCCAAGAGUUUAUCUUGCUUCUAGAAUAUAUUGAAAAGAGCCACCCUCUGAACAAAUGGCAAACACUAUAUAGUAUAAAUAGGAUGCACUGAAAAUAGUAGGCUUAUUUCUUAAGCUGUCAUCACGAACAUUAACCAGUAAUUAUAUUUCUCCACUUUUUGUAGAAGACAUAAAUGGCAAAUUCUGAAUUUAUAAUUUCUAAUACUUCAUUUUUCUGCUCUUGUAAAGUUCAUUUUGAACUUUCAACAUAAAAAUAUUAAAGAUUUUUAAUUGUGCACAUUUGAA